GCUCAGAAUCAUUUUUCAUUAACAAUUGUUAAUUUUUAAGCAAAUAUAUACAUUAAAUACUUUAGAAAGGUCAUUUUUCAAUUUUUUCAUAAAAUUUGAAAAAAUUAACUGAGGAAAAACGAGGAGAAAAUAUACGAAAUAUGUUACUAAAAUAUUAUGUUUUUUUUUUUUCUAGUGCACAACUUUUAACCAGCAAUUUUGCUUCUACAUAUUUUGAUGGCAAUGUUUCUAAAAAAGAAAUUUCACUAGGGAGGUACAACGGUUUAUAAUGGCUUACGGGUAUACAUUAUAUUAUCUAUAACAGUGGCUGCACUCGUGAUCCGUCCCCAUUAUCCUGGAACGUCUUUUAAAAAUAAAUUCUUAUAUUAACUUUUUAAUGGAUACUUUCGUAUUAUUAUCCAAGGCAAAGUAUUUUAUAUAGGGAUAUAAAAUAUAAAUAUUGGAUGAUCGAUAUUAUUAUUUGAGUUUAGGACUGUCGAACUUCGAAAUCAGGUUAACAAAAAUACAUAAUAAUUGUGUGUUAUAUAAUGAUUGGUAUUUCUUCUUUAUUAUGCGUUUCAUAGUUUUUAUUAAACCGCAACUUUUGUAUACCUACACAAAUCCAUUGAGAACAAGAUUAUCGUUCACUGAUUUCGCUGACUUUUUAUAUUAUGUAUCAAUGAAUUUUUCCGCAUUGGGCAUUAAUAUUAACAUUGAACAUUAAUAAAUUAAAACGCAAUGAAAUCGGUAAAACAUUAAAAAUGUUAAAAUGUUAACGAAGAGGUUUAGAUAUUGGUGUAUACGCACUAUUACUUCUUAUGUCAUGUACUUCUUAUCAGACUGUUAUCAGUAAUAAUUUGAUUGCUUGUAUACAAACAAUUUAAUUAUACAAUUAAAAACACACAUGAUGAUAUUUAUUUUUUUUUUUUUUUUUAUAUUUUAGUAAGGCUAUACCACUUAAACGUAUUUGUCCCGAAGAAUUUCUCGAAAUAGGUAUGUUUUCAAAUGUCGGAGUGUUGAAAACGAUCGUUCUCUCGUGGUAGUAGACACUGAAAGUGUUAUAAAUAUUUGAAGAAGUUUAUAUUUUACUAAAUAAACAUCUGGACUAGUUUAGAAGUAUUUUUGUUCUUGAGUUCAGAAGAUGUUAAAUUUGAAUAUUUAGCGUACCACAAAUCUUAUUCUCCGUUUAAUAUAUGAUUAUUUAAAUUUGAAUCGUUACACUCAUCAAUUAUAUCUUGAUAUGUAUCUACUAAUUGUUUGAAUUUAGCUUUAAUA